rnacentral:rRNA from 1 species
ACUUAGCGGCGAAUGGGUGAGUAACACGUACUUAACGUGCCCUUUAGAUUGGAAUAACAAGAAGAAAUUCUUGCUAAUGCCGGAUAAAUAUUAUUUUCGCAUGAAAAUAAUUUGAAAGGAGCUUUACAGCUUCACUAAGGGAUCGGGGUGCGGAACAUUAGCUAGUUGGUAGGGUAAUGGCCUACCAAGGCUAUGAUGUUUAGCGGGGUUGAGAGACUGAACCGCCACACUGGGACUGAGAUACGGCCCAGACUCCUACGGGAGGCAGCAGUAGGGAAUUUUCCACAAUGGGCGAAAGCCUGAUGGAGCGACACAGCGUGCAGGAUGACGGCCUUCGGGUUGUAAACUGCUGUUAUAAGGGAAGAAAAAAUCAAGUAGGAAAUGACUUGAUCUUGACGGUACCUUGUCAGAAAGCAACGGCUAACUAUGUGCCAGCAGCCGCGGUAAUACAUAGGUUGCAAGCGUUAUCCGGAAUUAUUGGGCGUAAAGCGUCUGUAGGUUGUGUGUUAAGUCUGGCGUGAAAACUUGGGGCUCAACCCCAAAUUGCGUUGGAUACUGGCAUACUAGAAUUGUAUAGAGGUUUGCGGAAUUCCUUGUGAAGCGGUGAAAUGCGUAGAUAUAAGGAAGAACACCAACUUGGCGAAGGCAGCAAACUGGAUACAUAUUGACACUGAGAGACGAAAGCGUGGGGAGCAAACAGGAUUAGAUACCCUGGUAGUCCACGCUGUAAACGAUGAUGAUUAGUUAAUGGGGAACUCAUUGACGCAGCUAACGCAUUAAAUCAUCCGCCUGAGUAGUAUGCUCGCAAGAGUGAAACUUAAAGGAAUUGACGGGGACCCGCACAAGCGGUGGAGCAUGUGGUUUUAUUUGAAGAUACGCGUAGAACCUUACCCACUCUUGACAUCUUCU